rnacentral:miRNA from 1 species
CAAAGCAAAUGGCUGCAAUUCU